rnacentral:rRNA from 1 species
UUGGGUAGGGGAGCAUCCUGCAUGGAUAGAAGCAGUACCGUAAGGAGCUGUGGACUAUGCAGGAGAGAGAAUGCUGGCAUAAGUAGCGAAAGGAAGGUGAGAAUCCUUCCCGUCGAAAACCUAAGGUUUCCUGAGGAAGGUUCGUCCACUCAGGGUUAGUCGGGACCUAAGACGAGGCCGAAAGGCGUAGUCGAUGGACAAUCGGUUGAUAAUCCGAUACCGUAAGCUAACGUGAUGCACUAACGUGCAUCUUAAGAAAUGUGGUGACACAGGAGGAUAGCUCUAGCACACUGAUGGAUAUGUGUGCUCAAGCAAUGAGUCUGACAUAUAGGCAAAUCCGUAUGUCAAAAGGAUGAGUUGUGAUGAGGAAGAAGGCAGCUUGCUGCUUUAAGAGAGUGAAUUCACACUGUCGAGAAAAGCCACUAUCGAGGAAGCUUGCGCCCGUACCGCAAACCGACACAGGUAGGUGGGGAGAGAAUCCUAAGACGAACGGGAGAACCCUUGUUAAGGAACUCGGCAAAUUAACCCCGUAACUUCGGGAGAAGGGGUGCCUACGAAAGUAGGCCGCAGUGAAAAGGCCCAAGCGACUGUUUACCAAAAACACAGGUAUCUGCUAAAGCGAAAGCUGAAGUAUAGGUGCUGACGCCUGCCCAGUGCUGGAAGGUUAAGGGGAAAUGUAAGGGAAACCGAAGCAUAGAACUGAAGCCCCAGUGAACGGCGGCCGUAACUAUAACGGUCCUAAGGUAGCGAAAUUCCUUGUCGGGUAAGUUCCGACCCGCACGAAUGGCGUAACGACUUGGGCACUGUCUCAACAAGGGACCCGGCGAAAUUGUAGUACCAGUGAAGAUGCUGGUUACCCGCGAUAGGACGGAAAGACCCCGUAGAGCUUUACUGUAGUUUAGUAUUGAGUUUCGGUAUUGUCUGUACAGUAUAGGUGGGAGACUAAGAACCAUAUACGCAAGUAAAUGGGGAGUCGCUGUUGGGAUACCACCCUGAUAAUACUAAAAUUCUAACCGGGAUCCAUGAAACUGGAUACGGGACAUUGCUAGGCAGGCAGUUUGACUGGGGCGGUCGCCUCCUAAAGAGUAACGGAGGCGUCCAAAGGUUCCCUCAGAGCGGUUGGAAAUCGCUCGAAGAGUAUAAAGGCAUAAGGGAGCCUGACUGCGAGACCAACAAGUCGAGCAGGGACGAAAGUCGGGCUUAGUGAUCCGGUGGCACUGAGUGGAAGGGCCAUCGCUCAACGGAUAAAAGCUACCUCGGGGAUAACAGGCUUAUCUCCCCCAAGAGUCCACAUCGACGGGGAGGUUUGGCA